UCCCUAUUGCUCCUUAUGCUAGUAGACCAACCUCAAGUUAUUAUUCCACUCUCAUCCCUGCAGAAAGGUCUGUUUGUCCUUUGCAUCAGCCCUCUACCUCACCUGCUGCCGAAGAGAAAAGGGACUGGGAAGAUUCUUGCUGUCUGAUCCACUGUUCCUUUGGAGCAAAGGACAGGGCACAGAGAAGGAAGAAUUUUGCUGCUAAGGACGCUGUAUUGUUCUAUGCCACCAUUCUCUAUCAAGAAAUGGUUUAAGUUUUAAGAAGGAAAGAAGAGACCACAAGUCUUUUAAAGAAUUCUGAAUUGGAGUGCCUAAAAAGAACAGAAAACUGUUAUAACUCUAUAGCCAGAAUACACAAUCAAAAUAUCCACCGGCCCAAUCAACGGAGACAACACUUGAAAAUGGGCACUUCGUUCUAAGCGCACCCACUAACUAUUAAGCUAUGAGAAAAUUGAAGCACCAAGGUGUGACGUAUGUUGCUCAAAGUACCACAGCUAUGAAGGGCAGAGCUAGCAUUCAAACCCAGAAUAUUCAAAAACAAUUUUCUCUUGGGGGGACUAGAAAGGCAGAGCUGCAGCAUCACCCUCCAAAAGGUGACCCCCAGUGCCAGCCCUCCACACCAGUACAGGAGGGCCAGGCAGCCCCACACCCCAGCAGAUGAAGUCCCUGGGCUCAGCUGCUGGGCUGUGAGGACAGCCUGAUGCUCAAGUUUCCCCAUCUGUACAGUAUGGCAAAUCUGUGCACAUAGUGUGGUAAAUGCCGCACCUGAAGAAACCUGUGAAACUCCUGAUUUAGAGAUCCUUAAUUUGGGGCUAGAACGCAUGGAUGGGAUUUAGGGCACUCCUACCAGUUCCUGAAAUUAUAUACAAAAUUAUGUGGAUAUGUAUGCACAUGAAUGCUUCUGCAAAAAGCGACUAGAGCAGCACUGUCGAAUAGCAAUGUCAUGCAAGCCACGUAUGUCAUAUUAAAUUUUCCAGCAGCUACACUUUAAAAAGUAACAAGA